GGGGUCGUAGCUUAGUUGGAAGAGCGCCUGCUUUGCAUGCAGGAGGUCGUCGGUUCGAAUCCGAUCGACUCCACCA
rnacentral:tRNA from 1 species